rnacentral:sRNA from 1 species
GGGGGGAGCUGCCUGCCUGCCCACGCACCUUGGUGGGUCAGGAUGGCGUGCCAUGGGGCUCCCUCCCAGCGCCCCAGCAAGCUUUCCCAAGCAUGCUGGUGCGUUUUUCCAUGGCCAUGUGGGAAAUUCGACCGAGUCAAAAAUAGUCCACGCCGAAUCCAGGUCGUACGUGUCCCGGUUCUGGCUGGUCCAACGGAAAAAUGUGGGCAUCUCGUAGUGAGCUUAUCCGGCACCAUGACACAUUUGGCGUGCAGCAAGUUCUUUGCUUGUUCCUCAAGGUCCAAGUCAAAAAUCUUGAUGCCUUCGUCCCUUUGGUCGAGGUGCCGGUCUGGCAUCACAGUGGGUAGUUGCGGUCAUCCCUCGGACGUGCCGAGGCAUCCAGUGUGACCCGUUCCGCACGGAAGGUUGUGGCGCUAGGUGAAGCCUUCACGGGCAUAUCCUUAGCACGAAGGGGGCAAGUUCCCAAUCAUCCGGAAGUGCACUAUGGGCGGUUCAUCAUGGUCGAAGCCAAGGCGCGGCCGUGUUUGACGCGAUCAGCAACGUCUCUCCAGUCGCCUCGUCCCUCGGAAAAGUGUGCUCUGUUGAGGUGCCGGCCUGGCCUCACAGUGCCGAGAUGGGUAGUUGUGCGCAUCCCUCGGACGCGCCGAGGCUUCUAGUGUGACCCGUUCGGCACGGAAGGAUGUGGGUCUACGCGUUCCCUUCAGUGGCAUAUCCGUAGCACUGAGGGGCAAGUUCCCAAACAUCCGGAAGUGCACUCUGGGCGGUUCAACGCGGUCGAAGCCAAGGCAAGGCCAUGGUUGAAGCAAUCAGCAACGUCUCUCCAGUCGCCUCGUCCCUCGGAAAAGUGUUCUCUGUUGAGGUGCCGGCCUGGCCUCACAGUGCGGAGAUGGGUGGUUGUGCGCAUCCCUUGGACGCGCCGAUGCUUCUAGUGUGACCCGUUCGGCACGGAAGGAUGUGGGUCUACGCGUUCCCUUCAGUGGCAUAUCCGUAGCACUGAGGGGCAAGUUCCCAAACAUCCGGAAGUGCACUCUGGGCGGUUCAGCACGGUCGAAGCCGAGGCAAGGCCAAGGUUGAAGCAAUCAGCAACGUCUCUCCAGUCGCCUCGUCCCUCGGAAAUGUGUGCUCUGUUGAGGUGCCGGCCCGGCCUCACAGUGUCGAGAUGGGUAGUUGUGGGCAUCCCUCGGACGUGCCGAGGCUUCUCGUGUGGACCGUUCUGCACGGAAGGAUGUGGCGCUAGGUGUUGCCUUAAUGGGCAUAGCCGUAGCACGAAGGGGCAAGUGUCCAAGCAUCCGGAAGUGCACUUUUGGCGGUUGAACAUGGUUGAGGCCAUGGCGCGGUAGUGGUUGAGGCCAUCAGCAUCGUCUCUGCAGUCGCCUCGUCCCUCGGAAAUGUGUGCUCUGUUGAGGUGCCGGCCUGGCCUCACAGUGCCGAGAUGGGUAGUUGUGGGCAUCCCUCGGACGUGCCGAGGCUUCUCGUGUGACCCGUUCUGCACGGAAGGAUGUGGCGCUAGGUGUUGCUCUAAUGGGCAUGGCCGUAGCACGAAGGGGCAAGUUUCCAAGCAUCCGGAAGUGCACUUUUGGCGGUUGAACAUGGUUGAGGCCAUGGCGCUUUGUGUUGAGGCCAUCAGCAACGUGUCCCCUGUUGCCUGUCCCUCGGAAAAGUGUGCGCUGUUGAGGUGCCUGCCUGGCCUCACAGUGCCGAGAUGGUUGUGCGGAUACCUCGGAAUUGUCGUGUGUUCAUGUGUGGCCUGAUCUGCACGGAUGGUUUUGGUAAUAUCUUCCGGGCACGAAGGGUCAAGUUCCCAAGCAUCCGGAAGUGCACCCUGGGCGGUCAACACGGUUGGAGCCAUGGGGCGGUCGUGGUCGAAUCAAUCAACAAUGUUUCUCCUGUCGCCUUGUCCCUCGGAAAGUGUUCUGUUGAGGUGCCGGCCUGGCCUCACAGUGCAGAGUUGGUUGUUGCGGGGAUCCUCGGAAUUGUGCUUCUUCUACUGUGGCCGUUCUGCACGGAAGGUGUGGUGCUCGGUGAACCCUUCAUGGGCGUAGCCGCAGCACCAUGGGUCAAGUUCCAAUCAUCCGGAAGUGCCCCUGGGCUGUUCAACACGGUUGGAGCAUGGGGCAUGGGGCGGACGUGGUCGAAUCAAUCAGCAAUGUUUCUCCUGUCGCCUGUCCCUCGGAAAAGUGUUCUGUCGAGGUGCCGGCCUGGCCUCACAGUGCAGGGUUGGUUGUUGCGGGGAUCCCUCGGAUUGUCGUUGCUUCUACCGGGGCCCGUUGUUCACGGAAGGUGUGGUGCUCGGUGACCCUUCUUGGGCGUAUCCGCAGCACCAUCAUGGGCAAGUUCCCAAGCAUCCGAAGUGCACCCUGGGCUGUUCAACCGGUUGGAGCCAUGGGGCGGUCGUGGUCGAAUCAAUCAGCAAUGUUUCUCUUCUCUGUCGCCUUGUCCUCGGGAAAGUGUUCUGUUGAGGUGCCGCCCUGGCCUCACAGUGCAGAUUGGUUGUUGCGGGGGAUCCCUCGAAUUGUCGUGCCUUCUACUGGGCAACGUUCUGCACGGAAGGUUGUGUGCGUGACCCUUCAUUGGAAUAUCAGAGCACGAAGGGGCGUAAGUCCCAUAAUCUUGUAGUGUGUUGUGGGUGGUUCCCAUGGCGGAAGCGAGGGUCUUGAUUGUGGCCUCUCAGUGCAUGUUUGGUUAAGAUAAGGGCAUGUCACUGUGUUGCGUGUUGGCUUUUGACUCUUAGAAGUGUGUUGGGGGGUCUUAUCUGGCUCACCCUUCAGAGUUUAGGAAUCACGCCGUCCAUCUUCUCUCACACAACACACACAGCCCCAAUUUCUUUCUUCGGAAAAGAGAGAGAUGGACUGCGUGAAUUCCAAACUCUGAAGGGUGAGCCAGAUCAACCCCCCAACACACUUCUAAGAGUCCAAGCCAACAAGCACACAGUGUCACAUGCCCUUAUCUUUAACCAAACCUGCACUGAGAGGCCACAAUCAAGACCCCGCUUCCGCCAUGGGACCACCACAACACACUACCAGAUUUGGGACUUACCCCCUUCGUGCUCUGCAUAUAUGCCCAUGAAGGGUUCACCGAGCACCACAACCUCCGUGCAAACGUGCCACAGUAGAAGGCACGACAAUUCCGAGGGAUCCCCGCAACAAACCAACUCUGCACUGUGAGGCCAGGCCGGCACCUCAACAGACACUUUCCGAGGGACAAGGCGACAGGAGAAACAUUGCUGAUUGAUUCGACCACGACCGCCCCAUGGCUCAACCGUGUUGAACAGCCAGGGUGCACUUCCGAUGCUUGGAACUUGACCCAUGCAUGGUGCUGCGGAUACGCCCAAGAAGGUUCACCGAGCACCACAACCUUCCGUGAACACGGCCUCGGUAGAAGCAACGACAUUUCCGAGGGAUCCCCGCAACAAACCAACCCUGCAACUUGAGGCCAGGCCGCACCUCGACAGAACACUUUUCCGAGGACAAGGCGACAGGAAAACAUUGCUGAUUGAUUCGACCACGUCCGCCCCCCCAUGGCUCCAACCGUGUUGAACAGCCCAGGGUGCACUUCCGGAUGAUUGGGAACUUGACCCAUGGUGCUGCGGCUACGCCCAUGAAGGGUUCACCGAGCACCACAACCUUCCGUGCAGAACGGGCCACAGUAGAAGCCACGACAAUUCCGAGGGAUCCCCGCAACAAACCAACUCUGCACUGUGAGGCCAGGCCGGCACCUCAACAGAACACUUUCCCGAGGGACAAGGCGACAGGAGAAACAUUGCUGAUUGAUUCGACCACGACCGCCCCAUGGCUCCAACCGUGUUGAACAGCCCAGGGUGCACUUCCGGAUGCUUGGGAACUUGACCCUUCGUGCCUGAAGAUAUUACCAAAACCAUCCGUGCAGAUCAGGCCACACAUGAACACACGACAAUUCCGAGGUAUCCGCAACAACCCAUCUCGGCACUGUGAGGCCAGGCAGGCACCUCAACAGCGCACACUUUUCCGAGGGACAGGCAACAGGGGACACGUUGCUGAUGGCCUCAACCACAAACGCGCCAUGGCCUCAACCAUGUUCAACCGCCAAAAGUGCACUUCCGGAUGCUUGGAAACUUGCCCCUUCGUGCUACGGCCAUGCCCAUUAGAGCAACACCUAGCGCCACAUCCUUCCGUGCAGAACGGGUCACACGAGAAGCCUCGGCACGUCCGAGGGAUGCCCACAACUACCCAUCUCGGCACUGUGAGGCCAGGCCGGCACCUCAACAGAGCACACAUUUCCGAGGGACGAGGCGACUGCAGAGACGAUGCUGAUGGCCUCAACCACUACCGCGCCAUGGCCUCAACCAUGUUCAACCGCCAAAAGUGCACUUCCGGAUGCUUGGACACUUGCCCCUUCGUGCUACGGCUAUGCCCAUUAAGGCAACACCUAGCGCCACAUCCUUCCGUGCAGAACGGUCCACACGAGAAGCCUCGGCACGUCCGAGGGAUGCCCACAACUACCCAUCUCGACACUGUGAGGCCGGGCCGGCACCUCAACAGAGCACACAUUUCCGAGGGACGAGGCGACUGGAGAGACGUUGCUGAUUGCUUCAACCUUGGCCUUGCCUCGGCUUCGACCGUGCUGAACCGCCCAGAGUGCACUUCCGGAUGUUUGGGAACUUGCCCCUCAGUGCUACGGAUAUGCCACUGAAGGGAACGCGUAGACCCACAUCCUUCCGUGCCGAACGGGUCACACUAGAAGCAUCGGCGCGUCCAAGGGAUGCGCACAACCACCCAUCUCCGCACUGUGAGGCCAGGCCGGCACCUCAACAGAGAACACUUUUCCGAGGGACGAGGCGACUGGAGAGACGUUGCUGAUUGCUUCAACCAUGGCCUUGCCUUGGCUUCGACCGCGUUGAACCGCCCAGAGUGCACUUCCGGAUGUUUGGGAACUUGCCCCUCAGUGCUACGGAUAUGCCACUGAAGGGAACGCGUAGACCCACAUCCUUCCGUGCCGAACGGGUCACACUAGAAGCCUCGGCGCGUCCGAGGGAUGCGCACAACUACCCAUCUCGGCACUGUGAGGCCAGGCCGGCACCUCAACAGAGCACACUUUUCCGAGGGACGAGGCGACUGGAGAGACGUUGCUGAUCGCGUCAAACACGGCCGCGCCUUGGCUUCGACCAUGAUGAACCGCCCAUAGUGCACUUCCGGAUGAUUGGGAACUUGCCCCCUUCGUGCUAAGGAUAUGCCCGUGAAGGCUUCACCUAGCGCCACAACCUUCCGUGCGGAACGGGUCACACUGGAUGCCUCGGCACGUCCGAGGGAUGACCGCAACUACCCACUGUGAUGCCAGACCGGCACCUCGACCAAAGGGACGAAGGCAUCAAGAUUUUUGACUUGGACCUUGAGGAACAAGCAAAGAACUUGCUGCACGCCAAAUGUGUCAUGGUGCCGGAUAAGCUCACUACGAGAUGCCCACAUUUUUCCGUUGGACCAGCCAGAACCGGGACACGUACGACCUGGAUUCGGCGUGGACUAUUUUUGACUCGGUCGAAUUUCCCACAUGGCCAUGGAAAAACGCACCAGCAUGCUUGGGAAAGCUUGCUGGGGCGCUGGGAGGGAGCCCCAUGGCACGCCAUCCUGACCCACCAAGGUGCGUGGGCAGGCAGGCAGCUCCCCCC